rnacentral:piRNA from 1 species
UGNGAAUCAAAGAUGGGACCUUGCUCGGGUA